UUAUUAAUGCAGCCUAAUUGUUUCACGUGAAACAGUUUGACAGUUCAAAGCCUGUAAAAAAUCGCAGAUGAAUAA
rnacentral:ribozyme from 2 species